rnacentral:lncRNA from 1 species
UUUUGUAGGUUACGAGCCUGGAUUUUUGUGGUACUUGUCAUUCUCUUCUUUUCCAAGGCUUCUGGGAGAUUUGUGAGGUAGUUGUUUGUCUUCUCAGCGAUCCUUCUUACUCCUGAUUAUGAUCUUGUUCUAUUCUAGAAACAAGGUCAUUUGAGUCUUAUAUUUCUUUUUGAAUCAAUUGUAAUACUUUAGAGGCUUGUACACGUGACAACCAGAUUUUGG